rnacentral:rRNA from 1 species
UACGUAGGGGGCAAGCGUUGUCCGGAAUCAUUGGGCGUAAAGAGCGUGUAGGCGGCCAGAAAAGUCCGCUGUGAAAACUCGAGGCUCAACUUCGAGCUGUCGGUGGAAACUUUCUGGCUAGAGUCCGGAAGAGGAGAAUGGAAUUCCUGGUGUAGCGGUGAAAUGCGCAGAUAUCAGGAAGAACACCCGUGGCGAAGGCGGUCUCUGGGACGGGUACU